rnacentral:rRNA from 1 species
ACAGUCUUUGCAAUGGAUGACUAGGCUCUCGCAACGAUGAAGGACGCAGCA